GCUCCCUUCGUCUAGUGGCCUAGGACACCAGCCUUUCACGUUGGGUACACGGGUUCGAAUCCCGUAGGGAGCGCCA
rnacentral:tRNA from 1 species